ncrna:Nicotiana tabacum cultivar TN90 Ntab-TN90_scaffold1963, whole genome shotgun sequence
AUGCAGAAUAGCCUGUCAAUAUAGCCCAAGAUGACUGCCUAGUAUUUCAACCCCAAAAGGGAGCUACGUUUUGAGGGAGGAGGAUAUGUAGGCAAGUCAUCCUUGGCUAAUAAACAAAAACUCUUCUCU